AGGGUGUGUGCCGCGCGCGGGAAACGCCGUUCUCCGCUCCAGGCGUCGGCGGGCGGUGGCGAGAGCAGAUUUUAUAGGUUCAGAAAGUGUGUCUCAGAGGAGUUAGAGAAGACCGAUUAAUAGAUGACAGUGCUAAAGCCUGGAUCUCCUGAAUCCUGGUUCUGGGAUACAUGUGCAGAAUGUGCAGGUUUGUUAAUAGGCAUACGUGUGCCAUGGUGGUUUGCUGCCCCUUCAACCCGUCAUCUAGAUUUUAAGCCCCGCAUGCAUUAGUUUGGGGGAAGUUCUAUGAAAUCUAAGUUGAUGAACAUUAUUCCCCCUGCUGAUACCAAAAGUCCUGACUUGUAAGGAGGACAAAGCUGAGAUGAAAGUGUCCUAAGUUAGAUUCCUGGGAAGAAAAUUCUGAGACACAUUCUGCAGGAUGAUUAUUAGGGCUCAUCCUUGGUUUCAACACCCAUAGAAGGAAGGGGGAAGAAGAAAUCGAACAGAGAGACAGAAGUCGAGAUGCAUUUCAGGCCAGGACUCUUGGCUGAACCCACAGGAGCUCUGGAGCUAGAAUGGCCCUUCAGAGUUGUCCUGAGUUGGUCUGAGAUGGCCAGUUCUUUAUAUUCCUGCAUGGGAUAGUCACUGGAUGUCCACCCCAGGAAGGGGUGUGGCCAAGACAGUCCCUAAAAUGCCCGCCAGCACUCCCUACACCUGGAGCGACAAGACCAACAUCACAGGGGGAAUGCACUGGGUGAUGGAUCACAGCGUUCAUCCCAGAAGAUGAGGAUACAGAAUUGGCUGACAACUACGUUCUAAAUGUCAGUGUUCUCCAAAAUUCAUAUGUUGAAACUUAAUUCCCAAUGUGAUGGCAUUAGGAAGUGGGGCCUUUGGGGGAGGGACUAUAGGUCAUGAGGGUGUAACCCUCAUCAAUGGGAUUAGUGUCCAGAGAGCUGCCUUGCCCUUCCACCAUGUGAGGACAUAGUGAGAAGGUGCCAUCUAUGAACUAGGAAGUGGGCGCUUACCACCAGACACCCACUCUUCUGGCAACUUGAUCUUGAAUUUCCCAGCCUCCAGAACUCUGAGAAAUCAAUUUCUGUUAAUUAUAAGCUACCCAGUCGAUAGCAUUUUGUUAAAGCUGCUGGAACUAAACUAAGACACUGACGCUUUCUGCGACAAAAAGAUAGAGUGAGUCUCUAUAGCAUACCAUGUAACAGAUGUUUUUGGAAAAAUAACCUCAUUUCAUAUGUUUCCUCAAGAUAAAAAGAAUGUCAUAACAACAAAUGAGAAAAUAGUUGCUUUAGAAAUAUUGCACCCUAUGGAGAGAGUAUUUUGGAUUUUGGUUUUUUGUUUUGUUUUUUAACUUUUGUUUUAGGUUUGGGGGUACAUAUGCAGGUUUGUUAUAUAGGUAAACUCAUGUCACAGGGGUUUGUUGUACAGAUAAUUUCCUCACCCAGGUACUAAGCCUAGUACCCAAUAGUUGCUUUUUCUCCUCCUCUCUCUCCUCCCACCCUCCACCCUCAAAUAGGCCCCAGUGUAUGUUGUUCUCUUCAUUAUGUUCAUGAAGUUGAGAGAGUGUUUUGAAAAAGAAUGUUGGAAAGCAUUUCCACUGUUAGAUGAUUUUAAGUCAAAAAGUUAUACAACAGUGUGACCUAUUUGCACACAAGCAUGGACACAGAAUUGUGUCAUAUGUUUAAAACUUUUCUAGAUCCUUUUGUGGUUCAUAAGCUUGAUGAUUGAGUUUUCGCGUCCACAUGUGAGAUGUGCCUCCCUUGAGCCUUGUCAUUGGCACAUUACCUGCCUGAUGUGAACAAUAAAAAUAAAAAAUAAAAAUUUGC
rnacentral:lncRNA from 1 species